rnacentral:rRNA from 1 species
UCAGAUUGAACGCUGGCGGCAGGCCUAACACAUGCAAGUCGAACGGUAACAGGAAGCAGCUUGCUGCUUCGCUGACGAGUGGCGGACGGGUGAGUAAUGUCUGGGAAACUGCCUGAUGGAGGGGGAUAACUACUGGAAACGGUAGCUAAUACCGCAUAACGUCGCAAGACCAAAGAGGGGGACCUUCGGGCCUCUUGCCAUCGGAUGUGCCCAGAUGGGAUUAGCUAGUAGGUGGGGUAACGGCUCACCUAGGCGACGAUCCCUAGCUGGUCUGAGAGGAUGACCAGCCACACUGGAACUGAGACACGGUCCAGACUCCUACGGGAGGCAGCAGUGGGGAAUAUUGCACAAUGGGCGCAAGCCUGAUGCAGCCAUGCCGCGUGUAUGAAGAAGGCCUUCGGGUUGUAAAGUACUUUCAGCGGGGAGGAAGGCGAUAAGGUUAAUAACCUUGUCGAUGACGUACCCGCAGAAGAAGCACCG